rnacentral:rRNA from 1 species
UUGCCUACGGGACGCAGCAGUAGGGAAUUUUCGUCAAUGGGCGCAAGCCUGAACGAGCAAUGCCGCGUGAACGAGGAAGGUCUUCGGAUCGUAAAGUACUGUUGAAGGGGAAAAAGAGCGGAGAGAGGAAAUGGUCUCCGAUUGAUAUUACCCUCCGAGGAAGUCACGGCUAACUACGUGCCAGCAGCCGCGGUAAUACGUAGGGGGAGAGCGUUAUCCGGAAUGAUUGGGCGUAAAGGGUGCGUAGGCGGCCUGCUAAGUCUGGGGUGAAAGGUACCGGCUCAACCGGUACAGGCUCUGGAAAC